AAGACUAUACUUUCAGGGAUCAUUUCUAUAGUUUUUGAUUUGAGAAAUGUAUUUCUAAAGUGUUUGGUCUUGCUGACCAUGAUGAUGAGUCUUGAUAUUCCUUUCAGAGCAUGAAGCUGAUAGAGAGUAAUGAUUCACUUAAUCUGCUCUCUGUUGUUGAUGAUUGUUCUUUGCUUCUUUAUGAAGCAUUGAGGAAAGGAAUAUGAUCAGAGUGGU